UACAGAGGUGGCAAGCGUUGUUCGGAAUUACUGGGCGUAAAGGGCGCGUAGGCGGUUCGAUAAGUCCCGUGUGAAAUCCCUCGGCUCAACUGAGGAACUGCACGGGAAACUGACGGGCUUGAGUUCGGGAGAGGGAAGCGGAAUUCCGGGUGUAGCGGUGAAAUGCGCAGAUAUCAGGAGGAACACCAAUGGCGAAAGCAGCUCGCUGGGACGUGACUGACGCUGAGACGCGAAAGCGUGGGGAGCAAACAGG
rnacentral:rRNA from 1 species